AAUACCCUGGUAGUCCACGCUGUAAACGAUGUCGACUUGGAGGUUGUUCCCUUGAGGAGUGGCUUCCGGAGCUAACGCGUUAAGUCGACCGCCUGGGGAGUACGGCCGCAAGGUUAAAACUCAAAUGAAUUGACGGGGGCCCGCACAAGCGGUGGAGCAUGUGGUUUAAUUCGAUGCAACGCGAAGAACCUUACCUACUCUUGACAUCCAGAGAACUUAGCAGAGAUGCUUUGGUGCCUUCGGGAACUCUGAGACAGGUGCUGCAUGGCUGUCGUCAGCUCGUGUUGUGAAAUGUUGGGUUAAGUCCCGCAACGAGCGCAACCCUUAUCCUUUGUUGCCAGCGGUUCGGCCGGGAACUCAAAGGAGACUGCCAGUGAUAAACUGGAGGAAGGUGGGGAUGACGUCAAGUCAUCAUGGCCCUUACGAGUAGGGCUACACACGUGCUACAAUGGCAUAUACAAAGAGAAGCGACCUCGCGAGAGCAAGCGGACCUCAUAAAGUAUGUCGUAGUCCGGAUUGGAGUCUGCAACUCGACUCCAUGAAGUCGGAAUCGCUAGUAAUCGUAGAUCAGAAUGCUACGGUGAAUACGUUCCCGGGCCUUGUACACACCGCCCGUCACACCAUGGGAGUGGGUUGCAAAAGAAGUAGGUAGC
rnacentral:rRNA from 1 species